UACGAAGGGUGCAAGCGUUACUCGGAAUUACUGGGCGUAAAGCGUGCGUAGGUGGUUCGUUAAGUCUGAUGUGAAAGCCCUGGGCUCAACCUGGGAAUGGCAUUGGAAACUGGCGACCUAGAGUGCGGUAGAAGGGUAGUGGAAUUCCCGGUGUAGCAGUGAAAUGCGUAGAGAUCGGGAGGAACACCGGUGGCGAAGGCGGAUCUCUGGGCCUGUUCUGACGCUGAGGCGCGAAAGCUAGGGGAGCGAGAG
rnacentral:rRNA from 1 species